rnacentral:rRNA from 1 species
UACGAAGGGUGCAAGCGUUACUCGGAAUUACUGGGCGUAAAGCGUGCGUAGGCGGUUUGUUAAGUCUGUUGUGAAAUCCCCGGGCUCAACCUGGGAAUGGCAAUGGAUACUGGCAAGCUAGAGUGUGUCAGAGGAUGGUGGAAUUCCCGGUGUAGCGGUGAAAUGCGCAGAUAUCAGGAGGAACACCAAUGGCGAAGGCAGCACUCUGGGACGGUACUGACGCUGAGACGCGAAAGCGUGGGGAGCAAACAGG